rnacentral:piRNA from 1 species
UGUGUUCUUUGGAAGCUUUUU